rnacentral:rRNA from 1 species
AUGGCGUCUUUGAAUCAUAGCAGUUUCACUCGGGUGGCGGUCACAUUGUGGUCUAUCUGGACGGCCAGGCGAAAGUACAUUCAUGAAGGAUUAACACAAAGCCCACAGGCUACCUCUCUUUUCGUGAACAGGUUCAUCAAAGAAUUAGAGCUCAUCCAUGCAAAACCCCCCAGCAAUUUGCAGGAAGCCCCUCGGGUGCACAGAGCAACAAAUGCAAGGCCAAAAGCACCCCCCGCUGGAUUCUCGAAGAUACAUGUUGAUGGCGCGGUCUUCCACAGCCGACAUGGAGCAGUGGCGGCAGUUUGUCGGGACCAAGUGGGUAACUAUCUGGGGAGUUCGGCUUUGGUUUUGCCAGGAAUCACCGACCCGGCUACUUUGGAGGCAAUAGCAUGCAGAGAAGGCCUUGCUUUGGCUGAAGAUCUUCUCCAGGGCAACAUAAUGGUCGCGUCCGAUUGCAAGCAGGUUGUUGAUGACAUCAAGCUUGGGAACCAGGGAGUCUAUGGUUCAGUGAUAACAUAAAUUAAACUUAGAUCUUUGGAUUUUACUCGUAAUUUCGUUUUUGAAAACUGUUCUUCAAACGGUGAAGCUCAUAGCUUAGCUAAGCAUGCACUCUUUCUCGGUGUGGGGCGCCAUGUAUGGUUGGCCAACCCUCACAAUCCGACUUGUAUCCCACUUCAUGUGGAUUAUGAUCAAUAA